UGUGCUUCAACGUCACAAAUGUAAAUGAAGACAGGAAAUUUUCCCAUUGCAUUUGUCCCUCUAAUGUACGUAAAGUGUACAACUUUUCCUUGAUAAGGAGCAUAGAACAAAAGAAUUGCAAGUGCAAAGAGGUUAUAUGGCAGAUAGUUUCAAGUCUUCUUCUUUUAGCCAUAGUUGCUCUUACUUCAUAUGUUAUAUGGAUAAUUGUACAUUAUACAAGAAAUUGCAAAAAAGAGGCACUCAGAUCUGAAGAAGAUGUUGCAGAAUCUCAACCUUUACAAAGUA